CCAUAAUAUAUUAGAAUGGCAUCUAUUUAAUAAUUAAAGUAUUUACGGUUAGAGAGUGGGCAUGCGUCCGAUUAGUUUGUUGGCGGGGUAACGGCCCACCAAGGCUACGAUCGGUAGGGACCUGAGAGGGGUAUCCCCCACACUGGUACUGAGACACGGACCAGACUCCUACGGGAGGCAGCAGUGAGGAAUAUUGGACAAUGGGCGCAAGCCUGAUCCAGCCAUGCCGCGUGCAGGAUGAAGGCCCUCUGGGUUGUAAACUGCUUUCUACGGGAAUAAACCCCUUUACGUGUAAAGGGCUGAAGGUACCGUAGGAAUAAGCACCGGCUAACUCCGUG
rnacentral:rRNA from 1 species